UUCCCUAGUACGGCGAGUGAGCGGGAAGAGCUCAAAUUUGAAAUCUGGUGGCCUCAGGUCAUCCGAGUUGUAAUCUAUAGAAGUGUUUUCCGUGCUGGCUCAUGUACAAGUCCCUUGGAACAGGGCGUCAUAGAGGGUGAGAAUCCCGUCCUUGACAUGAACUACCAGUGCUCUGUGAUACAUUUUCAACGAGUCGAGUUGUUUGGGAAUGCAGCUCAAAAUGGGUGGUAAAUUCCAUCUAAAGCUAAAUAUUGGCGAGAGACCGAUAGCGAACAAGUACCGUGAGGGAAAGAUGAAAAGCACUUUGGAAAGAGAGUUAAACAGUAUGUGAAAUUGUUGAAAGGGAAACGAUUGAAGUCAGUCGUGCUCUUUGGAUUCAGCCGGUUCUGCCGGUGUACUUCCUUUGAGUGGGGUCAACAUCAGUUUUGAUCGCUGGAUAAAGGCUGGAGGAACGUAGUACCCUCGGGUAAACUUAUAGCCUCCUGUCACAUACAGUGGUUGGGACUGAGGAACGCAGCACGCCUUUAUGGCCGGGAUUCGUCCACGUACGUGCUUAGGAUGUUGACAUAAUGGCUUUAAACGACCCGUCUUGAACACGGACCAC
rnacentral:rRNA from 1 species